ensembl:lncRNA
UAAGUCCUAAAGAAUGGCUCUCUUUGGCACCUGGUGUCAAGGCAUUAUUUAGAUGUUGUAGCCAAGUGCUUCACAAGCUUUAAAGUGCACAUGAAUCUUGUUAACAUGCAGAUCUGGUUCAGUGGGUCUGGGGUGGGACCUCAGAGUCUGCAUUCCUAACAAGAUCCUGGGAGAUACCAAUGCUGCUCGUGCGCAAACCACGCUCACAGGGAAAGCAAGCGGCCAGCAAACAGCUCACUUGUGCUGUUUUGUCAAGAAUGGACCUCAGAGGUUGUGUUUGAGAAGCUUGGCACACUGUUUCAGCACAUACUCUUAUUAUCUCCCCACAAGUUUGGAAAUAGAUUUUGUGAUUGCACCUGACAAACACGGAGAUGAGGAUGCAGAAGAGAAAGUUGAGCACCUGUCAAGGUUACACAGGCGUGAGUGCCAGGUGGGUUCUCCUGGCAUCCAACACAGCUUCGGAGAAGCACAAGCAGGAAGCAAGGGACCCGUGAUGCAGGCCUGCAGCGAAGCCCUGGCCAGCCUGCCUCUCCACGGAGUUGGUUGAAGUCUGCAGAGAACUGGGCACCGCAGCUGUGCGUGGCACGAGAGGACAGUCUGAGAAGACCUGAAGUGAUGUACAAGAGGUGUUCAAUACAUGGUGCGUGUCACACUGUAAGAGCUCAAUAAAUAUUUGUUCACUGAAAAGACCCCAGGUGACUGGAUCACAGAACUGAAGAGUUGGAGGAGGCCGUGGAAAUCAGCUCAUCCAGCCUCCCACCUGGUGUAGGUUUUCCUUCUGAAGGAGCCAGGCAGAUGCUUCCCGAAAAGGGGAGCUCACCCACUGCUUGUAGAGAGUCCUUUUUGUGUGUAGGGACUUCUACCUCUGGGAUGUUUCCCUCACGUGGACAGAAAUCUAUCUCCCUGGACAUUCUACCAUCAGUUCCAGUUCAGCCCCCAACAACAUAAUACAGCCACUUCCUUUGCCAAAUAGCACCUGGAAAUGAGGUUUGCACGUGAAGGCAGCAUUUAAACAGGAAGCUGAGAGUCUUUAGUUCAGUGUCCUCCAACUUAAGUCUGGGUUGGCCAGCAUGGCCUGAGACUGGGUUUAACGCUACCCUACUUCACCCCACCCCAGGCACAGGUUCCCACAACCUGAGCAGCGCCUGUCCUGUUAGGGAGGGAGGCGAUUCACAUCCAACUGGGAGGAGCGGCCUUAUACGCUUAGAAAAGCAACUCUGUCAAAAUUGACACCUUCUGUCAUCCUCCCAUGUCGAGCACCCUGUCCUAGGAUCGUCACCCCUGAGCAUCCUUCCUGAGUGGUACAUUCUUGAGAAACUGACCCAUGGCCAGAGGCAGCCAACCCAGCGCCGUACCUUGGACUUCUGAAGAUAGUGACCGAGUCUCUUCAGAGACAUUUCAGCUCCUUCUGAUGAGAUGGCACCUUGACAUGCUGGCCGCCUUCCUCUUGAUACUUCCCAGUUUAUCAUCAAACCGUAACUCUCUUAAAAGGCUGAGUCCAUCCUGAAAACAGUACUCCACAUAGGGCCGGGCCGGCUCUGGGCACAGCGAAGCUCUGAUUCACGCUUGCACACAUUUGCUCAUGGUAGAUGAACAGGGAGGAGAAAUCCUGCGUGCAGUUAAUGUUGGAAAACUUGACAGAAUGAAAUAACUUGUAGAGAGAUGAGAAGUACCUUUCCUGCAUUAAUACAAACAAAUAUUGGGGAGAGGGGCCCUGCUACAAAGACCCAUCAACUGGCAGGUAGUCAAAAAGCCUGCUGGGAAUAGGGGACUAAAAAAAGGCAGAGCUACAAGGCUCCCCCCAGGUCAUCAAUUCCUUACACAUUUCUGUAUUAUUAUUCUGUGACACUGUUGUGCCACGAUUUCUACACAUUUCCCUAAAAUGCUAUGAGCAAACUGAGGGCAAGGACCAGCCUUGAGCACUGUUCCUAGUGCCUCGUUGGUGUCUAGUAGUUUUUAAUUGAAGCAGAACAUGAUAGCGCUCUACCCCAGGCCCCAAGCCCAGGUUAGGAUCACCCAGUCUCCCUUCCACUCCUAGCUCUCUGCCUGCCUGUGGUCCUGCUCUUUAAGCCUGCCUUUGGCUUUCAUUUCAGCCAGAUUCUUUGCAAAACCCUUUCGUUUUCUGUGCUCUUCCAUUUGAGAAUUAACCCUUCACUUGGCAAAGAACUAAGUCUAAUCUAAGUUACCUGGACAAAGG